AUUGAACGCUAGCGGGAUGCCUUACACAUGCAAGUCGAACGGCAGCACGGACUUCGGUCUGGUGGCGAGUGGCGAACGGGUGAGUAAUGUAUCGGAACGUGCCCAGUAGCGGGUGAUAAGUACUCGUACGAGUAGCUCAUACAGCAUACGCCUUACGGGGGUAAGGGGGGGAUCGCAAGACCUUACACUAUGGGAGCGGCCGAUAUAGGAUUAGCUAGUUGGUGGGGUAAAGGCCCACCAAGGCGACGAUCUGUAGCUGGUUUGAGAGGACGACCAGCCACACUGGGACUGAGACACGGCCCAGACUCCUACGGGAGGCAGCAAUGGGGAAUUUUGGACAAUGGGGGCAACCCUGAUCCAGCCAUCCCGCGUGUGCGAUGAAGGCCUUCGGGUUGUAAAGCACUUUUGGCAGGAAAGAAAUCGCAUGGGUUAAUACCCUGUGUGGAUGACGGUACCUGCAGAAUAAGCACCGGCUAACUACGUGCCAGCCGCCGCCGUAA
rnacentral:rRNA from 1 species